rnacentral:rRNA from 1 species
UACGUAGGGUGCGAGCGUUAAUCGGAAUUACUGGGCGUAAAGUGUGCGCAGGCGGCCGAGCAAGUCGAGUGUGAAAGCCCCGAGCUUAACUUGGGAAUUGCGCUCGAAACUACUUGGCUGGAGUGUGGCAGAGGAAGGUGGAAUUCCAGGUGUAGCGGUGAAAUGCGUAGAUAUCGUAAGGAAGACCAGUGGCGAAGGCGGGUCUCUGGACAGUUCCUGACGCUGAGGCACGAAGGUCAGGGGAGCAAACGGG